AAUGAACGCUGGCGGCAGGCCUAACACAUGCAAGUCGAACGGAUCCUUCGGGAUUAGUGGCGGACGGGUGAGUAACGCGUGGGAACAUACCCUUUGGUACGGAAUAGCCUCGGGAAACUGGAGUAAUACCGGAUGUGGUCGAGAGACGAAAGAUUUAUCGCCAAAGGAUUGGCCCGCGUUGGAUUAGGUAGUUGGUGGGGUAAUGGCCUACCAAGCCGACGAUCCAUAGCUGGUUUGAGAGGAUGAUCAGCCACACUGGGACUGAGACACGGCCCAGACUCCUACGGGAGGCAGCAGUGGGGAAUCUUAGACAAUGGGGGAAACCCUGAUCUAGCCAUGCCGCGUGAUCGAUGAAGGCCUUAGGGUUGUAAAGAUCUUUCAGGUGGGAAGAUAAUGACUGUACCACCAGAAGAAGCCCCGGCUAACUCCGUGCCAGCCGCCGCAGUAAAAC
rnacentral:rRNA from 1 species